UACAGAGGUCUCAAGCGUUGUUCGGAUUCAUUGGGCGUAAAGGGUGCGUAGGUGGCGAGGCAAGUCAGAUGUGAAAUCCCGGGGCUCAACCCCGGAACUGCAUUUGAAACUGCCUUGCUCGAGUACUGGAGAGGAGACUGGAAUUUACGGUGUAGCAGUGAAAUGCGUAGAGAUCGUAAGGAAGGCCAGUGGCGAAGGCGAGUUCCCGGACAGUGACUGACGCUGAGGCACGAAGGCCAGGGGAGCAAACGGG
rnacentral:rRNA from 1 species